rnacentral:rRNA from 1 species
ACGAACGCUGGCGGCGUGCCUAAUACAUGCAAGUAGAACGCUGAAGAGAGGAGCUUGCUCUUCUUGGAUGAGUUGCGAACGGGUGAGUAACGCGUAGGUAACCUGCCUUGUAGCGGGGGAUAACUAUUGGAAACGAUAGCUAAUACCGCAUAACAAUGGAUGACACAUGUCAUUUAUUUGAAAGGGGCAAUUGCUCCACUACAAGAUGGACCUGCGUUGUAUUAGCUAGUAGGUGAGGUAAUGGCUCACCUAGGCGACGAUACAUAGCCGACCUGAGAGGGUGAUCGGCCACACUGGGACUGAGACACGGCCCAGACUCCUACGGGAGGCAGCAGUAGGGAAUCUUCGGCAAUGGGGGCAACCCUGACCGAGCAACGCCGCGUGAGUGAAGAAGGUUUUCGGAUCGUAAAGCUCUGUUGUAAGUCAAGAACGGGUGUGAGAGUGGAAAGUUCACACUGUGACGGUAGCUUACCAGAAAGGGACGGCUAACUACGUGCCAGCAGCCGCGGUAAUACGUAGGUCCCGAGCGUUGUCCGGAUUUAUUGGGCGUAAAGCGAGCGCAGGCGGUUUGAUAAGUCUGAAGUUAAAGGCUGUGGCUCAACCAUAGUUCGCUUUGGAAACUGUCAAACUUGAGUGCAGAAGGGGAGAGUGGAAUUCCAUGUGUAGCGGUGAAAUGCGUAGAUAUAUGGAGGAACACCGGUGGCGAAAGCGGCUCUCUGGUCUGUAACUGACGCUGAGGCUCGAAAGCGUGGGGAGCGAACAGGAUUAGAUACCCUGGUAGUCCACGCCGUAAACGAUGAGUGCUAAGUGUUGGAGGGUUUCCGCCCUUCAGUGCUGCAGCAAACGCACUAAGCACUCCGCCUGGGGAGUACGACCGCAAGGUUGAAACUCAAAGGAAUUGACGGGGGCCCGCACAAGCGGUGGAGCAUGUGGUUUAAUUCGAAGCAACGCGAAGAACCUUACCAGGUCUUGACAUCCCGAUGCUAUUUCUAGAGAUAGAAAGUUACUUCGGUACAUCGGUGACAGGUGGUGCAUGGUUGUCGUCAGCUCGUGUCGUGAGAUGUUGGGUUAAGUCCCGCAACGAGCGCAACCCCUAUUGUUAGUUGCCAUCAUUCAGUUGGGCACUCUAGCGAGACUGCCGGUAAUAAACCGGAGGAAGGUGGGGAUGACGUCAAAUCAUCAUGCCCCUUAUGACCUGGGCUACACACGUGCUACAAUGGUUGGUACAACGAGUUGCGAGUCGGUGACGGCGAGCUAAUCUCUUAAAGCCAAUCUCAGUUCGGAUUGUAGGCUGCAACUCGCCUACAUGAAGUCGGAAUCGCUAGUAAUCGCGGAUCAGCACGCCGCGGUGAAUACGUUCCCGGGCCUUGUACACACCGCCCGUCACACCACGAGAGUUUGUAACACCCGAAGUCGGUGAGGUAACCUUUUGGAGCCAGCCGCCUAAGGUGGGACAGAUGAUUGGGGUG